rnacentral:rRNA from 1 species
AUUGAACGCUGGCGGCAUGCCUUACACAUGCAAGUCGAACGGCAGCACGGGAGCAAUCCUGGUGGCGAGUGGCGAACGGGUGAGUAAUAUAUCGGAACGUGCCCAGUAGUGAGGGAUAACUGCUCGAAAGAGCAGCUAAUACCGCAUACGACCUGAGGGUGAAAGCGGGGGAUCGCAAGACCUCGCGCUAUUGGAGCGGCCGAUAUCAGAUUAGCUAGUUGGUGGGGUAAAAGCUCACCAAGGCGACGAUCUGUAGCUGGUCUGAGAGGACGACCAGCCCCACUGGGACUGAGACACGGCCCAGACUCCUACGGGAGGCAGCAGUGGGGAAUUUUGGACGAUGGGCGCAAGCCUGAUCCAGCCAUGCCGCGUGCGGGAAGAAGGCCUUCGGGUUGUAAACCGCUUUUGUCAGGGAAGAAACGGCUCCUACUAAUACUGGGGGCUAAUGACGGUACCUGAAGAAUAAGCACCGGCUAACUACGUGCCAGCAGCCGCGGUAACAC